rnacentral:lncRNA from 1 species
GGCCUUAAUGAGAUUCAUUGAUUGUAAAGAAUUCUGUCCAAAACACACAAACAUUUCCUAGUGGUAAACAUAAUAAAAAACAACCAAUGAUUAAAAAUAAGUUUAAAAAAAAAAAAAAAACAAUGAACUCAUGUAAGUAAUUUAUGUUGUGCCUAAAUAAUUUUUCACAAUUAAAUGCUUUUGGUAGGCCUACAAUAUAUAUAUAUAUAUAUAUAUUAAAAACUACAAUGCACUUAUUUACCAACAACAAGAGUUUAACAUUGCUAAAUUUCCCAAAAAGGCUUUUUAAUGUGAUGGAUUUGAUAAAUGGACAGAAGCUAGCUAUUAUGUGCAGUUAGCUUCCAGUAAAAUGGCGUCCAUUUUCUCACCAUUCGAACAAGGCCAAGUGUGUAUCAUCUCUCGCUUUUAUAUCUAUGGUUUGACCUUUUAUAAUUGUGGUAAAUUGGGUAAAGCAACGCUGCAUUAACGGGGUAAUUAAAAUUGCUGGACGGGAGAAAAUUACGGCUGUAAAUUUAUUUAUUUAGGGGUCUAACAGAGUUGAACUGUCACGUGUUCGUUGGAUUAAACCAGUUCCAGGGUCAACCAGCAGGUGUCUCCAAUUUAACCAUCAGCACAAAUGUAGCUUUGCUUUUACUUCCACGACACGUUAGUCACAUCAAUGGCAACUCUACAUCUACACCAGUUUGCUGACAUUAAACUACAUGGAAUGCAAAGCUGCUAACACCUCCUCCAUCCAGGUGAGACUCUGGGCUAGAUGUGGGCUUGAUCCAGCGGUGAUGGGCUGGUUUCCUCACCUUUUGACCCUGUAGAAAUGUUUAGCCCUGACCCAACCAUUGGGAAUGGAAGGAUGAUUCCUAACUCACUGGGCCACCUCAGGCUCAACGCUCAAUCUCCACCAGACUCCUUCAGAACUGAGAUUGACCCCAUGAGACAUCUGAGCACUAUGACCUCAAGGAGGAUUGAGGUCCAGCUGACCCAGGAGGAGGACCAGGCGCUAACUAACCUGCUCAAACUGCACUAUGAGGAGGACUGCUUCUCUCAGGGUGUGGAGCCACAACCUGACUGGACACCCGAUCCUAUUCUGUAUUCCUGUUUUUGUGAAAACCUGGCUGAGGCCUUUCGGGGGUCAGAUGGUGAGUUUGCUAUUCCUGACAUGAUCUUUAGUCCCUUUGACCAAGAUGAGGCCAGCUUACAUUGUGACCCUCUGCUGCACGGGGGCACCAGAAUACAAGAAGCAGCAGAGAUUUUUCUAGCAUUGUUUGGUGCCAACUUCACCAACAAAACCAGUCCCCCUACAGACCAGUCCCCCUGUUCUGUAUCGGAUAAAUACGGUGAAGCAGUCUUAGAUGACACAAGUCAUUUUGGGGAUUUUCUGGAACGGAGGGUUCAGAAGUUGUCAGAGCUGGAAGUGAAUGCUGUUAAAAUGCUCCUCCGCCUUUCUAAUGCUGCGCAAUAA